CAGCAGCCGCGGGAAAACAGAGGGUGCGAGCGUUAAUCGGAUUUACUGGGCGUAAAGCGUGCGUAGGCGGCUUUUUAAGUCGGAUGUGAAAUCCCUGAGCUUAACUUAGGAAUUGCAUUCGAUACUGGGAAGCUAGAGUAUGGGAGAGGAUGGUAGAAUUCCAGGUGUAGCGGUGAAAUGCGUAGAGAUCUGGAGGAAUACCGAUGGCGAAGGCAGCCAUCUGGCCUAAUACUGACGCUGAGGUACGAAAGCAUGGGGAGCAAACAGGAUUAGAUACCCCUGUAGUCCCUGUCUCUUAUAC
rnacentral:rRNA from 1 species